UACGGGGGGGAGCAAGCGUUGUUCGGAUUUACUGGGCGUAAAGGGCGCGUAGGCGGCCAGUGCAAGUCAGUUGUGAAAUCUCCGAGCUUAACUCGGAAAGGUCAACUGAUACUGCUCGGCUAGAGUGCGGAAGGGGCAACUGGAAUUCUUGGUGUAGCGGUGAAAUGCGUAGAUAUCAAGAGGAACACCUGCGGCGAAGGCGGGUUGCUGGGCCGACACUGACGCUGAAGCGCGAAAGCGUGGGGAGCGAACAGG
rnacentral:rRNA from 1 species